rnacentral:rRNA from 1 species
CCUACGGGCGGCUGCAGUGAGGAAUAUUGGUCAAUGGGCGGGAGCCUGAACCAGCCAAGUCGCGUGAGGGAAGACGGUCCUAUGGAUUGUAAACCUCUUUAGGCGGGGAGCAAUGCCGGGCACGCGUGCCCGGAGGGAGAGUACCCGCAGAAUAAGCCUCGGCUAACUCCGUGCCAGCAGCCGCGGUAAUACGGAGGAUGCGAGCGUUAUCCGGAUUUAUUGGGUUUAAAGGGUGCGUAGGCGGAUUUUUAAGUCAGCGGUAAAAUGUCGGGGCUAAACCCGGGCGGGCCGUUGAAACUGGGGAGCUUGAGUGGGCGAGAAGUAUGCGGAAUGCGUGGUGUAGCGGUGAAAUGCAUAGAUAUCACGCAGAACUCCGAUUGCGAAGGCAGCAUACCGGCGCCCGACUGACGCUGAGGCACGAAAGCGUGGGGAUCGAACAGGAUUAGAUACCCCAGUAGUC